rnacentral:snRNA from 1 species
UUUUCCACCCGGUUUUUUUAUCGGACAGAUUUGGUUUUUUUGGUCUGGUUUUUUUGACGUACGAUGGAAACACCUCUUAUUUUUUUAUUUUUUAAGUAGUAGAGAUGUGGGAGGGUUCAUUAUAGUGGCUUGACAUUGGAACCCUCAUGUGUCGCUCAAGUGUUGCACUAUAGCAUGAGCUUGGCGCCCCCCAA